UGGGGCCCGGGAGAGGGUGAGGUUGGUGAGGUGCAGCGGUUGCGGCGCCCGCAUCUAGGCUGGGUUGUUUUACCCCUGCUCUACGCGCUCGCCGGUUCUAUAACCUUGAGAUGCAGAAGGGCAAGCGCUAGGCCCGGCUGCAGGUUCCGGGCGGGACAGCCACAGGAGGCGAGGUCAGGGAUGGAUUGAUGGUUUGAGACCACGCCGGCGUCUCAUCUUUAGUCCACGUUUCCCCUAAGUAGCCAAAACCUAACACCUAAUGACCGCGCCGCUAGCUUUUCUUGUUCUCCCUAAGACGCUUUCACACGUAUCCUUAAGUCACAGAGCCUGGAAAAGAAGGAAAGGUAAGAGAAAACAGUAACAACAAACCCGUUUGCCCUCUCAUGUUUCAGUCAGCGUCGUACCACAACGUCGAUUUCCCGCGAUCCUGAAGCAGUGCAUGACUAAUCACAUCUUAGAUUUGCAGAUUUUUUUUUUUUUUUUUAAGGGAUGAAACCCAAUCCGAGGUCUUCAGUUUUACCGGUUUUGUAUUAUGCCCCUGGCAUCUGGCCCUCGGUGGGAGUAGUCCAGGAUAGAGGAUUGAAAACCGCGUUCGUCGAACCUUCAGCUUUGAGUCUUCUUUCCCGUGUGCUAAUACCUAGUGUUUGGAAACAGUAUUUCGCAGAAAGUCCCUUUUUAAUAAAAUUAAGAGACUUUAUACUAGCCAUUUAGUGUGGAUUUUCACUUUUCUUGGUGAUGUUAUAAUUGUUAAUAUAAUACUGUGUGCCAGACACACGAUAUGUGUGAUCUUCGCCCCUAUGUGAAACGCCACUUUGCAAGGUUUUGCGUAGAGAUUGUCCCAGAGGUUAAUUAAAAAUACGUUCAGUAAAUAUUGAGCAUCUGUAGUGUCAGGUAAUAUAAAAUUCCUACUAACUUGAGCUCUAAUUUUUUCAUAGAGAGGUAGUUUCCAAAAAUUGGAGAGUUCCACUUCUGUUGUCAAAAGCAGAGUAAGGGUGACAUGACAUUUCGAAGUUACUGAUGAUAUAGAAAUUAUUAUUUGCAAAAAUUAUUUUAAAGGAUACUCAUCUUGAGACUUUUUAAUAGAGGCAGCUUCGUGCAUUUAAAAUAGGUUGUUGUAAUUUUUUGUUUUUUAAAAAACUAUAUUCUCUUAGGAUUAAGACUUUUGAAAUGAGAUGUUCAUGUGACUUGUGCUGCUGAUAUUUUUAAUUUUACAGGAAGACUGAACAUGUUUGAGGUGGACCAAAAGAUUCCACAAUGUGUGUUUAAAAUGUGGGAUCAUUUUGUGUACAUGAACACUAAACUCUGUUUAGGUAGCAUAUUAUUGAAAUGUGAAACAGGUGAACCCCCUAGAACUUACCACUCUUUGCAGGCUAGUCUGCAAGAUUUGUUUUUUAAACAAGACAAUUUGUUGUUUUGUUUUGUUUUUUAAGUCUAACCAUAGGGGAAUUCAAAGGCAACUUUCCCAGUCAUUUUCCAUUGUCUAAAGAAUAGGAAAUCACUGAAGCAGGUUAUUGGCUUCAACUGGAGGUAUUCAGUAUUGUUAUGAGGCUCCUUGGUCCCCUGGCUUCCCAAAGUGCUGGGAUUACAUACACUACACUCUGCCAUGACUAGUUUUUGAUUUCAUCAAAAAGCAUUAAAGUUGCUAUGAAUACUGUAGGGAGAGGCCCAAAGCCUUUGUAAAUCUCUUCCACCAACACUUUCCUCCUUAUAAUAUAGUAGUACGUAGGCAAGGUAGGAACAGAGAAUGUCUAGGGAAUUUAACUUUUAGUGUUUACAUCACACAGAAGUUUGGUUCUUCUCUCAAUCUUUAAACCAAAUUUAUUCCUGCAGAUUGAAAAUUAAUUUAGAUCUUUUAAUUUGGGAGAAGAUAAUCAUGUCUCUUCUCAAAUGAAUUCAUAAUUAUAAAGGGCUUAGAAUGAUAUGUGACAAUGGUAAGCACUGUAUAAAUAUAUGUUAAAUAUAAAGCGUGUAUAUGUACGUAUGCAUAACUCUUGUUCAUUUUCAGAAGAAAAAUAAAACGCAAUUUAUAAAUAAAACUUAACGGGGACCAGGCUAGAACUGGAAUCAGGCAGAGGCAAUGAGAAUGAAUGAUUGGAACUGAAAUAGUCUUAAGAUCCUGGUCAUUGAGAUAGCUCUUGACACCAGUAUGGUCGAUAAGACCAUUAGUUUUUUGCAUUUUCUAGUACUAAGUGCCCUCACUGCCUACUUGUCCAGUCUCUUAUGAUUCCUCCUCGUAUCCAAAUAGAUAACUUUUCUGAACAUCAUCCUGCUCCUUUGUAACUCCAGCACUCAUUGAUAGCUCUCACCCAUAAUGCUUUCCCUUCUAUUUGCAAGGAAGGUGUUAACUCUUAGGCUAUUCUCUCUCCCUGUCCUCCAGAUGUUGUUUUCUUUUGCUUAAAUCCUUGCCUCAGUGAUACCUGUUGCUUGUAAAUCUUUAGCACCUCAUAAAGAUGUUCUUCUCUUCAGCCUAAAGUUACUCAUAAUUCACCCUCAUCUUUAAAAAAAAAAAAAA